UACGUAGGGUGCAAGCGUUGUCCGGAAUUAUUGGGCGUAAAGAGCUCGUAGGCGGUCUGUCGCGUCUGCUGUGAAAACUCAGGGCUUAACCCUGAGCUUGCAGUGGGUACGGGCAGACUAGAGUGCGGUAGGGGAGACUGGAAUUCUCGGUGUAGCGGUGAAAUGCGUAGAUAUCGAGAGGAACACCUGCGGCGAAGGCGGGUUGCUGGGCUGACACUGACGCUGAAGCGCGAAAGCUAGGGGAGCGAACGGG
rnacentral:rRNA from 1 species